CUCACAAAGUGGCUGUCAUGUGUAGGUGAUUCACGUUGGAUUGCAUAUCACAGCCAGCUUUGAUGAG
rnacentral:pre_miRNA from 1 species